rnacentral:lncRNA from 1 species
GGGCUCAGGAGAGCUGCUGGGGGGGGACAACUUCCCCGUAUAGGGCCCCAUAUCUCCUGCAAGCACAGCUAUAGAAAGACAGCCAUCCCUUCUCAUGAAACAGAGAUUUCAGCAUCAGCCCGAGGGCUUUUUGCCCAGGAAAUGACAGCACCCAGGAGGAGCUCUAAAUCAGCCAAAUCUCACUGACACGCACAAUGACGGCUCAGGCCAUGGUGAGCACCAGGCUCUCCAGCUCCGGGGUCAGCCAGGGACACAGCAGCUGAAUGAGGGACCCCCAGCUGAACGAGCAUAGCUUCCAAGGAUGGGCCCUGGGAGCAGGACACGGCUGGUGCUGUGCCCUUGGCCAGGAGGGCCGUUGCAGGGAGGCAGAUGUCAGCUCAGGAGGCUCUCGUUAACGCGGCUCCCGCUGUGUCCCUGCCCGGAUGACGAGCUUCCUAGGGAAGGAGGGGGGAGAACGACCUCCCCACCCUGCCAGCUUGGAGAACCUCACCCAAGCAGUGCCAGGAUGUGUUGUAUCGCGUUGCCACGGCAACUGACAUCUUACGAUGCUGAAGCAGGCGGAUGCGGAGUCAUGCCACAUGAAUCAUGCAGAUCAUCUGACCUCGGCGUGACGGGGACAGACAAAGAGCAGAGAUGUGCUCGCCAGGGCCAAGUCCUGAGUUCUGGCAGGGGAGGAGGUGACAGUGCUGUGGAAUGCUGUGCUGAACCCAGCAUGAAUCUGGAGCCUGGCACAGCCUGGCCUGGGGAUGCUGAGGGAGAAAUAAGUGGUUGGUCAAGCACCCUGUGUAUCAGUGGGCACAACAUCCCAGCAGCCGUUUGGACACGAGAAGUGCCUGGCAGAGAGCAGUCCCUGAGCUCUGCCCUAUGGCCUCUGCCAGGUGUAUGUCUGUCAUUGGGCUGGAGCACCUGGGCUGGCACCACAGACUCUCUGGUAGCUGUCAUCGCUCCCCACCAGGCACUGACUGCUUCUCUCCUCCCAACUUCAGCAGCUCAUCACCUUCCCCAGCUGCGCCUCAUCUCUGCAAUCACUCUGAGAAAAGGCACCCGCAGCCCAUCGUGCCCCAGGAGGGACAUUUAGGGACAGCCUCUCCGCUCUUUCCCAGGCUUGGAGGAAGCAGCCUCACGCGAUGCUCAGGCUCACUGGUAGCUCGGAGGCCUGAUGGUAAUAAAUGAGUCAGGAGCACAUCUGCA